GACGUAGGGCGCGAGCGUUGUCCGGAUUUAUUGGGCGUAAAGAGCUCGUAGGCGGCUUGUCGCGUCGUUCGUGAAAACCCGGGGCUCAACUCCGGGCUUGCGGGCGAUACGGGCAGGCUAGAGUUCGGUAGGGGAGACUGGAAUUCCUGGUGUAGCGGUGAAAUGCGCAGAUAUCAGGAGGAACACCGGUGGCGAAGGCGGCUUUCUGGACAGAUACCGACGCUGAGGCACGAAAGCUAGGGGAGCAAACAGG
rnacentral:rRNA from 1 species